rnacentral:misc_RNA from 1 species
GCAGGAAGGAAAACGUUAUUGUUCUUUUCUGUUCACGCUGUUGUAAUUCGUAGCUAGCUACAACUUUAAUCAGAGAAUCUAGUAUCUAGUUGUAGUUGACCUCGUGCUAGUCGGUUUUCUGUUUUGAAGGCUAAUUGUUCUUUUUAUUCUUGAUUCACCUAAGCGUAUACUGAAAUAAUUUUUCUUGGGACUGAUUGCCCUUCUUCAGUUUUAUUUGUUGGCGACAGUUGUCGAUUUGGGGCGUCCACUCAUAUAUAUUAAAUUGUUUGAUUCGCCUAAAAACAUGGCGGCAAUAAACCGUUCGAUAGAAGUGUGCCAAGUUAUGGAAAGGGGUAAUAAUUCUAAUCGUUCGAUGGAAGUGGUCCAAGUUAUUGAAAACAGGAAUAGAUAUGUGACAAAAGAAGAAUUUGAAAAUCUAGCAUCUCGAAUCGAAAAAAAUGAAGAGAAAAGGAUGUUUGAAAAAAAAGUGGAAGAGAAAAAGAUGUUGGAACGUUUCAAUGUUCUCAAUGACCGAAUCAUGUUUGUGGACACAAAGGAUUUCAAGACCAACUUGAGAAUAAAAAAUUUUGAAAGGCACAUGAAAUCGUUGGACACAAGAUGUAAGGAACUAAAUGACCGCUUUGAGUCAGUGAGACCUGUCACCUCAUACAAGACGCAAAAUGAACUUGAGGAAUACGAUCUUGUUCCGUUAACAGUGGAACAAAUCAACAGAAUGGCACACAAUUCUAGUUGUGUCGAGUUCAUUGAGCUUUUAGUGCUAGCUGCGUUUCCUGAUCGUUAUUUUGAAGACCACAGUUUUGCUGAUAUGACGAACGUGCAAUUCAUUGGACUCUUUCAAAUCAUCGGAAGGUAUUUCGAAACUGCAAUCUUGUCGGGUAAACCAUUGAAGUUGUCGUUGCCUUGCGAUCAUGAGGCCAAAAGGGAGGUCGCCACCAUAAUGGAAAAACAGAUCAACUUUUGGAAAAGAGAAAAUGGUUAUAGCAGAUCUGAGGAGCCAGUUAUCCCCAACGCUCAACAACAAGACCGAAGUGGUAAUGACCGAGAAGUAGACGUAAUUCAAUUAAAGAGAGCUGGAUGCACUUGCUUUCAAGGCGGAUAGUGUUGGCUUCAUCGGCAAAGUUACCUUAGCCGCUUUUCCAGAGAAUUAUUUUUUGAAGACGGAAAAUACAUCAAAGUCACUCAGUCCGCGACAACUCGAUUCAAUUUAUGAGAUGGUGAUAAAGAAGAUCUCCCAAGUUAAGCGACGUGGAAAGCCUAGUGUCCCGAUAUCGAAAGAAGCUGUUUUUCCAGUUAUUUAUCAGAAAAUCAGUAAUUUCCGUGCGAGCUACCGUUAAACCGUUUGU